AGUGAACGCUGGCGGUAGGCCUAACACAUGCAAGUCGAACGGCAGCACAGUAAGAGCUUGCUCUUACGGGUGGCGAGUGGCGGACGGGUGAGGAAUACAUCGGAAUCUACUUUUUCGUGGGGGAUAACGUAGGGAAACUUACGCUAAUACCGCAUACGACCUACGGGUGAAAGCAGGGGAUCUUCGGACCUUGCGCGAUUGAAUGAGCCGAUGUCGGAUUAGCUAGUUGGCGGGGUAAAGGCCCGCCAAGGCGACGAUCCGUAGCUGGUCUGAGAGGAUGAUCAGCCACACUGGAACUGAGACACGGUCCAGACUCCUACGGGAGGAAGCAGUGGGGAAUAUUGGACAAUGGGCGCAAGCCUGAUCCAGCCAUACCGCGUGGGUGAAGAAGGCCUUCGGGUUGUAAAGCCCUUUUGUUGGGAAAGAAAAGCAGCAGGUUAAUACCCCGCUGUUCUGACGGUACCCAAAGAAUAAGCACCGGCUAACUUCGUG
rnacentral:rRNA from 1 species